rnacentral:rRNA from 1 species
AUUGAACGCUGGCGGCAGGCCUAACACAUGCAAGUCGAGCGGAUGAAGGGAGCUUGCUCCUGGAUUCAGCGGCGGACGGGUGAGUAAUGCCUAGGAAUCUGCCUGGUAGUGGGGGAUAGCGUCCGGAAACGGGCGCUAAUACCGCAUACGUCCUGAGGGAGAAAGUGGGGGAUCUUCGGACCUCACGCUAUCAGAUGAGCCUAGGUCGGAUUAGCUAGUUGGUGGGGUAAAGGCCUACCAAGGCGACGAUCCGUAACUGGUCUGAGAGGAUGAUCAGUCACACUGGAACUGAGACACGGUCCAGACUCCUACGGGAGGCAGCAGUGGGGAAUAUUGGACAAUGGGCGAAAGCCUGAUCCAGCCAUGCCACGUGUGUGAAGAAGGUCUUCGGAUUGUAAAGCACUUUAAGUUGGGAGGAAGGGCAGUAAGUUAAUACCUUGCUGUUUUGACGUUACCAACAGAAUAAGCACCGGCUAACUUCGUG